rnacentral:rRNA from 1 species
CCUACGGGGGGCAGCAGUAAGGAAUAUUGGUCAAUGGACGCAAGUCUGAACCAGCCAUGCCGCGUGAAGGAUUAAGGUCCUCUGGAUUGUAAACUUCUUUUCUCUGGGACGAAACCCCCUGUAUCCACAGGGCCUGACGGUACCAGAGGAAUAAGCACCGGCUAACUCCGUGCCAGCAGCCGCGGUAAUACGGAGGGUGCAAGCGUUAUCCGGAUUCACUGGGUUUAAAGGGUGCGUAGGUGGACAUUUAAGUCAGUGGUGAAAUCUUUGGGCUUAACCCGAAAACUGCCAUUGAUACUAUUUGUCUUGAAUUCUCUGGAGGUAAGCGGAAUAUGUCAUGUAGCGGUGAAAUGCUUAGAUAUGACAUAGAACACCCAUUGCGAAGGCAGCUUACUACGGAGACAUUGACACUGAGGCACGAAAGCGUGGGGAUCAAACAGGAUUAGAUACCCCAGUAGUC